GUUCCAAGUCUUUGCUAUUGUGAAUAGUGCUGCACUAAACAUAUGUGUGCAUGUGUCUUUAUAGUAGAAUGAUUUGUAAUCUUUUGGGUAUAUACCCAAUAAUGAGAUUGCUGGGUCAACUGGUUCUAGUUCUAGAUUCUUGAGGAAUUGCCACACUGUCUUCCACAAUGGUUGAACUAAUUUACACUCCCACCAACAGUGUAAUACCAUUCCUAUUUUUCCACAUCCUCUCCAGCAUCUGUUGUUUCCUGACUUUUUAAUGAUUGCCAUUCUAACUGGCAUGAGAUGGUAUCUCAUUGUGAUUUUGAUUUGCAUUUCUCUAAUGACCAGUGAUGAUGAGCAUUUUUUCAUAUGUUUGUUGGCUGCAUAAAUGUCUUCUUUUGAGAAGUGUGUCUUCAUAUACUUGCCCAUUUUUUGAUUUUUUUUUUCUUGUAAAUUUGUUUAAGUUCUUUGUAGAUUCUGGAUAUUAGCCCCUUGUCAGAUGGAUAGAUUACAAAAAUUUUCUCCCAUUCUGUAGGUUGCUUGUUCACUCUGAUGAUAGUUUCUUUUGCUGUGCAGAAGCUCUUUAGUUUAAUUAGAUCCCAUUUGCCAAUUUUGGCUUUUGUUUCCAUUGCUUUUAGUGUUUUAGACAUGAAGUCUUUGCCCAUCCCUGUGUCCUGAAUGGUAUUGCCCAGGUUUUCUUAUAGAAUUUUUAUGGUUUUACAUCUUAUGUUUAAGUCUUUAAUCCAUCUUGAGUAGAUUUUUGUAUAAGGUGUAACGAAAGGGUCCAGUUUCAGUUUUCUGCAUAUGGCUAGCCAGUUUUCCCAGCACCAUUUAUUAUAUAGGGAAUCUUUUCCCGAUUGCUUGUGUCAGGUUUGUCAAAGAUCAGUUGGUUGUAGAUGUGUGGUGUUAUUUCUGAGACCUCCGUUCUGUUCCAUUAGUCUAUAUAUCUGUUUUGGUACCAGUACCAUGCUGUUUUGUUUAUGGUAGCCUUGUAGUAUAGUUUGAAGUCAGGUAGCGUGAUGCCUCCAGCUUUGUUCUUUUGGCUUAGGAUUGUCUUGGCUAUAUGGACUCUUAUUUGGUUCCAUAUAAAGUUUAAAGUAGGCUUUUCCAAUUCUGUGAAGAAAGUCAGUGGUAGCUCGAUGGGGAUAGCAAUGAAUCUAUAAAUUACUUUGGACAGUAUGGCCAUUUUCAUGAUAUUAAUUUUUCCUAUCUAUGAGCAUGGAAUGUUUUUCCAUUUGUUUGUGUCCUCUCUUAUUUCCUUGAGUAGUGGUUUGUAGUUCUCCUUGAAGAGGUCCUUCACAUCCCUUGUAAGUUGGAAUCCUAGGUAUUUUAUUCUCUUUAUAGCAAUAGUGAAUCGGAGUUCACUCAUGAUUUGGCUCUCUGUUUGUCUGUUAUUGAUGUAUAGAAAUGAUUGUGAUUUUUGCACAUUGAUUUUGUAUCCUGAGACUUUGCUGAAGUUGCUUAUUAGCUUGAGGAGAUUUUGGGCUGAGACAAUGGCAUUUUCUAAAUAUACAAUCAUGUCAUCUGUAAACAGAGACAGUAUGACUUCCUCUCUUCCUAUUUGAAUACCCUUUAUUUCUUUCUCUUGCCUGAUUUCCGUGGCCAGAAAUUUCAAUACUGUGUUCAAUAGGAGGGGUGAGAGAGUGCAUCACUGUCUUGUGCUGGUUUUCAAAAGGAAUACUUCCAGUUUUUGCCCAUUCAGUAUGAUAUUGGCUGUGGGUUUGUCAUAAAUAGCUCUUAUUAUUUUGAGAUACGUUCCAUCGACACCUAGUUUAUUGAGCGUUUUUAGCAUGAAGGGCUGUUGAAUUUUGUCGAAGGCCUUUUCAGCAUCUAUUGAGAUAAUCAUGUGGUUUUUGCCAUUGGUUUUGUUUAUGUAAUGGAUUACGUUUAUUGAUUUGUGUAUGUUGAACCAGCCUUGCAUCCCAGGUAUGAAGCCAACUUGAUCGUGGUGGAUAAGCUUUUCCAGGCUAGCUAGAUAUCUCUACCUGAGAGCUUCCCUGGUGCUAAUGUUUAGCAGAGUCUAUUAAUCCUCUGUUUCACCUGGUGUUGCAGAGGGUGUCAUGGUGGAAUCAGGGGAGGAAUCAGCCUAUAUUGCCGCCUUUUGUUGCUAAGUUGGGGACAGGAAGUGCCAUGUCAGGGUUUCUUUCUUCGGGUUUGCAAGGGCAUGUAAAAACCUUCUGACACUAAUCUUUCUUCAGUCCUACAGUGGCCUGCCUUACUGCCUUUCAGAUUUCUCAUUUGAUUGUUUUUGUGUUAUUUUCAGAGUUUAUAAUUGUACUAAAUACUCUAUAUAGUAUUGCCCAAACCACAAAUAAGCAUAUAUUUUUAAAGAAAUUAUGAGGUAGUUGAGUUGAUAUGAAACUUUCCUCUGUCCAUUGAUUGGGUUUAUACAACUUUAUACAAAAAGUAUAAUGAUAUAAUCAACAAGGACUUGAAGAGCUUGCUAUUAAUAAUCUCCUCGCAUUAGUUCGUUUUCAUGCUGCUGAUAAAGACAUACCCAAGACUGGACAAAUUACAAAAGAAAGAGGCUUAUCGGACUUACAGUUCCACAUGGCUGGGGAGGCCUCACAGUAACGGCAGAAGAUGCUGAACAGAUGCCAGUGCAAUGCUUUUGGUACUUCUCAGUCUGCAGAACUAGGGAAGAAAAAAGAUAAGAUAAAGAAAAAUAUUCUACCAGACACAUGGGAAUCAGUGACAAGGCCUGACAUAUACAUUACGGGAGCACCAGAAGACGCAGUAGAAUGAAUGUGUCAAUGGCAACAGUUGAAGAUAUACUGAAAAAUUGAUGGACAAAAUGCCAAAGAUUCAUCACGUUCUUUGAACUCCAAGCAGAAUAAAUAGAUAAGUAGAAAGGAAAUCACAUUUAGACAAAUGCAUAGCAAAACUCCAAAGGAGCAAGGAAAAAGUCUACAUUUUAAAAAUCAGCUUGGAGUUGAAAACAAGGCUACAGUCCGCAAGUCAUGAUACCACGAUAAACAUUUUAAAAGAGGAAAAUUUAAGAAAAUCCCAGUGUAUUCACCUAUGAAGUGUAAAGUCAUGAACAACAUGAGAACAAUGCAACUAUGGCACACAUUUAGACGCUGUUACGAGUAACAACAAAAAAAAUUUUGCAGCGUUUGAAAUUAUAUUCAGCGUAACUUUUUGUACUUAUAUACACUACUACUGUAUAAAUUUAAAAAAUUAAUGUCAUUAAUUUCCUCUAAAAAGUGAUUAUUUUUAAUUGGGCUAGUUUGCCUGCCAGGAAAACUUUCAUGUACAUUUUGUUGAUUCAAAUCAAUAAAAAUCCAGGAAUAAUGUGAGCUAAUUAUGCUUUAAAAUGUG
rnacentral:lncRNA from 1 species